CAGCUAUGGCAAAUUGCUUAUAGUUUGAACAACACAUGGUGGGAAAUGAACAUUGUUCGAUAGAGAGGCUUGCUGAAACCGUUGUAGUGCGCGAUUUGACUCGCGUAGAGCUUUGAGUUUCUUGUGAGCGGGCAGUUCAAAUUCCUUGUAACCAAUGUGAAGUAAAACGUUAAUAUCUUCGUUAGGAGUUAGUUUCAGUCAUUUUCGUUGCCUCAAUCGUGUUCUGCGUGAAAUUUUGGUUAAGAAACAUGUAUCAGAAUCCUUUAAUUCGUACCUUGUCUAGUGGUCCAUUGUGGCAAAUAUCUCAGUUUAUAUUAUUAAAAUGGUAUGCAGGUUGAUUUCAGGUGUGGAUGGAACUCAAUGAUGCUCGGCGUCAUUGGAAGUGAUCAUUUUGAAUCAUGGUAUGACAUAAACUACAGUCUCACCCUCUUCACCCCAAUUGAAGGUUUCAAGAAAAGCAGUGCCGUGUUCAAAAUCGACUAUUCUGACCAUUUGGAUUUGGAGACCAGAGUGUUACUACCAACAAUGAGGGUAGGAUUGAAAGCUCUGUGCAUCUACCAAAAAAUGAACAGCACAUCCUCUGAACUAGAUGAAGAAAGCUUCUUUGCAGAUGACUUAAUUCCGAAAAAAGAUUUGUUUUGGAGAGGAGCUGUCAACAUUGAUACAUUGUUUUAUCCAACCUUGAAAGUAGAGUUGAAUGUCACUGAACAUGAUUUAUCGUACACAACCAACUCCUUGAUAGACUUUCCAAACUUUGGUGCAAACAUCACGAACAAGCUUUUUUUCUCUGUAAGUGCGCAACAAUUUAAAUAAAUCUUUAAAACUCUAUCAAUAUAAAUUUAAAACUCAGUUUUCCGAAUGUUUUGUAUUCAAGAUCCCUAUAUCCAAAGCUACUCUGCGCCUGAGAGGUAAAAAGUGAUGAAAUGAGUUAAUUUUGUGGUUCAGCCAGGUACAAUUUUUCCAACUAACCAAAUUCGCGACUCAAAGUAGGGUCAUUCACAUUAAGGAAUGUAUCUAAUCUGGGCUGUUUCAGUAUUUCCAUGAACAUUUUAUUUUUUCAUGGGAGAACCGUUGCUUAAAUUUGUCUGGAAACUUUAAUGCCUUUUUUCACAAGUGUAAUCAAGAUUCUUUGAAAAUUUCAGGCAAAUUCAUGUGAAAUAAAAAUAAAAUGUCAGUAAGAAAUAUUGGAACAGCGCAAGUAAGGUAUGUUCUCUUGAGCAGAGAACAACAAUUUGGCCAAGGACCGGCGUAAUUUUGAU
rnacentral:lncRNA from 1 species